UUUGUAAUGCGUAUUUGGAAAUCAGUAUACGAGUACUUUAGACCCUCACGUGUGCAUUUAAGCGAAACCAUUGUAAGAAAUUCAAAAAGUCGGAAAAUGAAAUUAAUGUAUCCUCAGAUUCUUCGGCCCAGAUUGAAAGACCCCAUUUGGAGCAACUCCCCUUGGGUCAAGUGGAAAUCGAAGACAUCAAGGUUUUCGAUAAGAUGAACCUGCUGGGCAGCUUUUGGAAUCGGCACGGUGCCAAUGUCGAUCUGUGAAACGUUUGUGUUUUUUCAACUAUUAAAUGUUUUCUAUACCUUAA